UACGUAGGCAGCAAGCGUUGUUCGGAGUUACUGGGCGUAAAGGGUGCGUAGGCGGCUUUUUAAGUUUGGUGUGAAAUCUCCCGGCUCAACUGGGAGGGUGCGCCGAAUACUGAGAGGCUAGAGUGUGGGAGAGGAAAGUGGAAUUCCUGGUGUAGCGGUGAAAUGCGUAGAUAUCAGGAGGAACACCGGUGGUGUAAACGGCUUUCUGGACCAUAGCUGACGCUGAGACACGAAAGCGUGGGUAGCAAACAGG
rnacentral:rRNA from 1 species